rnacentral:lncRNA from 1 species
ACGGGACACCUGCAUCUGCCAACAAGACUGGAAGCAGAAAGGGACAGAGACGGCGAAGUUUGACGGUCUGGAAAGCAGAGACCAGCAGGGCUGACUGCUUGGGAGCACCAAAUAUCCGGACAGCGCCUCUCGGGAGGUCCGAGAAGAGAACCGCGAUCUGUUUCAGCACCGGGGCUCAGGACAGUUCCCAGCGGGCUCCGUUUCGUCUCCAGAACCCUGGACAGCUCCUCCAGAGACGGGGUUUCACCAUGUUGGCCAGGCUGGUCUCAAACUCUUGACCUCUUCAUCCGUCCACCUCAGCCUCCCAAAGUGCUAGGAUUACAGGCGUGAGUCACUGCGCCUGGCCCAAGUCCGGAAUUUUCAACAGGACAUGGGUGUUACUGUGCCCAUGUGACAUUUGGGGAACCCAAGGCCCUGAGAAAGGCAGAAAAAUAACCCACGCAGGGACUCUCAGCCCACAAGUGAAGCUCUUGGAAUGCACUCCCUCCACCUCCAACCAGAGCUCCCCACAACUGACCCUGCCUUCUUCUGCAAGCUCCAUUUCAUCAAGGGAAACGAUCCUUAUUGCCUCACCAUUUCCCACGUGAAGUCUGUAUUGACAUUCUCAUAGACCUGGGAUAUUGUGUCUGCAGCACAUAGUCCAAUUAUUUUCAUGUUAUCUACUGACAGGUCUAUUUGUCUCCCUGUUACACUGUGAGCUCCGUGAGGGCAGAAACAAUGUUAGUAUUUUCACUGCUGUGUCCCCAGCGCCUGGUCCGGGGCCCGGCACACAGCAGGCAUAUAAUAAGCAUGUGUUGAAUCAAUAAAGGCAUCAAAGAAUAAACCAAUACAUCAAUCAAUAAA